rnacentral:rRNA from 1 species
GGCGGCGCGCCUAACACAUGCAAGUCGAACGAGAGAUGAGGAGCUUGCUCUUCAAAUCGAGUGGCGAACGGGUGAGUAACGCGUGGAUAACCUGCCUCACACAGGGGGAUAACAGUUAGAAAUGACUGCUAAUACCGCAUAAGCGCACGGUACCGCAUGGUACAGUGUGAAAAACUCCGGUGGUGUGAGAUGGAUCCGCGUCUGAUUAGGUAGUUGGUGAGGUAACGGCCCACCAAGCCGACGAUCAGUAGCCGACCUGAGAGGGUGACCGGCCACAUUGGGACUGAGACACGGGCCCAAACUCCUACGGGAGGCAGCAGUGGGGAAUAUUGCACAAUGGGCGAAAGCCUGAUGCAGCAACGCCGCGUGAGUGAAGAAGUAUCUCGGUAUGUAAAGCUCUAUCAGCAGGAAGAAAAUGACGGUACCUGACUAAGAAGCCCGGCUAACUACGUG